rnacentral:tRNA from 1 species
GUGAUUUACGUCAAAAUGCAAGUUUGAAGAAGAGCCCAUAAAGGGCUCCGGGGCUU